rnacentral:rRNA from 1 species
AUUGAACGCUGGCGGCAUGCUUUACACAUGCAAGUCGAACGGUAACAGGCCUUUUGGUGCUGACGAGUGGCGCACGGGUGAGUAAUGCAUCGGAACGUACCCAGAGUUGGGGGGUAACGCAUCGAAAGCUGUGCUAAUACCGCACGUGAUCUGAGGAUGAAAGCGGGGGACCGCGCAGCAAUGUUUGGCCUCGCGCCUUUGUAGCGGCCGAUGUCGGAUUAGCUAGUUGGUGGGGUAAAGGCCUACCAAGGCGACGAUCCGUAGCUGGUCUGAGAGGGCGGCCCGCCCACCUGGGAAUGAGGACAGGCCCAGACUCCCACGGGAGGGAGCAGUGGGGAAUUUUGGACCAUGGGGGGAAGCCUUAUCCAGCAAUGCCGCGUGCGGGAAGAAGGCCUUCGGGUUGUAAAACGCUUUUGGCAGGAAAGAAACGGUGUCCGCUAAUACCGGGCGUUAAUGACGGUACCUGAAGAAUAAGCACCGGCUAACUACGUG